AGCAGCGUAGCUCAGUGGAGAGAGCACAGGCUUGGGAGUCAGAGGUCAUGGGUUCGAAUCCUGCCUCUGCCA
rnacentral:tRNA from 1 species